GCCAUCAUUUCCUCUUAAUCAUGUAGUUGUAAUUAAGGUGCUUCAACUAGGCAUGUGAAGAAAAACCAAGGACCCAGUCUAUCAGAAUGACCCGACCCGACCCGACUUGCCCGAUGAAAAGGGUUUUGGACGGACUUUCAGAUUGAACCCGUUAAAACACCAGUUUCAACCCUACUAACAUUUAAAAAAAAAAAAAAAAAAAAAAACCACUUCUACUUAAGCUUGCAGAUCAACCCUAGCUGAUAGCCCUCCCCAUUCCCAUCGUCAUCUCAUCGCCUCCAUUCUUCAUCUCAUUGCCUUUGUUCGUCGUCACCUCCAUUUCUCGUAGCCUUCUUUCUCCUCUGUUUAUCACUGGCUUAUUCCUUCCCCUCAAUUUGUUGCCGGCUUAUUCCGUCUCAUAUUGUCGUUCGAUCUUUGGGGGAGCUUGCACAUCCCGAUGUUCUCAAAACAGCUAUGCAUAUGGGUUGGUGGAGGCAGUCCUGGCUCACGGGUUCUAAAUUUUUGUGGAGGGCAAGAUAAAAGGGAAUCGGAGGAAGAGCUUUAGGUGGAUCAAAAAAUUAUACACUCAAGUGAUGGAUGGAUGACGGUGACAGAUGGGAUUGCUAAUGUUUUCCACUCUUUCUUUUGGGGAGUAAGCUAAAGAGAUGCAAUCACUUCUUUUGUGGGGGCAAAAUCUCUUUCCAACCUGGAUUAUGAUCAUGAAUUUUGGGUUAAAUUAUAAUUUAAAAUAAUUUAAUUUUAUGUUUGUGAGAUCACGGGUAAAAGAGUUGAUAAUGGUGUAAUAAUUAGUAAUAAUGAGUUGAUAUGUUUGUAAAUUAA